rnacentral:lncRNA from 1 species
CUCAUGAAGAAUUAAUGAGCCCAGAAGCUCCUCGGUACUUAAAGUUGAAAGAUCCUUGGUCUCUUGAAUUACUGCCACAAUAUGAUCAAACUUCAUAGAUAAAGUAUUAAGUACCGUUUCAACGAAUGUCUCAUCGCUGAGGGUAUGACCAUUGAGAUCCAUCUCAUUCUUGAUCUCCGUCAACCUCGAAAAGUAUCCCUCAACUGUCUCUGACUUCUCC